GCCAAAUUUAGCAAAUAGUUUUAGUGGGGACCUGUAUUUAUCAAAUUACCACCUUCAAGACAAAUGCUUACAAGGAAUGCUCAGUCUUCCUAGACCUUAUUCCGCUAAUGAGGGCAUGCCCCAUCUUUUCCAAAACACCACUUCUAAGACAAUGGUCCAAUUUUUACAUUAGAGCCACGUCUGCCUUGUACUGGCUGAGUAGCUGUCAUUUGGAUUCCUCCUAUCAACUCUGAAUUCCCUUUCAUCUAAGGUCUGUGUUAUGUGAUGGCAGCCCAGAGCAAUGACCUAUGACUAUGCUUGACUUCUUAUCUCAUGACAUGUGGACUAACUUACAAAUGCAGGAUGAAGCUAAUUAGAUUCACAGAGUCACAGAAAUGCUGGUUAGAGGAGACCUCUGGAGAUCUGCAGUCCAGCCUCCCACUCAAAGCAGGAGUGCUGCCAGCACCAGAUCAGGUCAACCACGGCUUGGCCCCACAGCCUCUUAAAAAUAUAUAAAGAUGGAAAUUUUGCAACUACUUUUGGUGACCUCUUCCAGUGCUACACCGCCCUCUUGAUGAAGAAAUCAAGCAUGAGAAAGUCUGCUGAGAGUUGUAGUAUCUUGUAAAAGACUAAUGAAGGUCAACUAAAUUUUGUUCUUAAGAAAGAGACUGUCCCUAAAAGUCUUGCCUGACUGUUAAUUCUCACAGAAGGAGUAAAACCCAGUUAAGGAAUGGUAUUUACUGGCCUAUGUCUAUUUUAAUCUCUCACCAGUGAAUAUAUCCUCAAAAUCACCUUCUGAUGGUAUGGAAAUAUUCUCAGUUUUAUCUGACGGAAGGAGAACUGAGGUGAACAGACACUGUAUUCAAUUAUACAGCACAUCCAAAACAAAGCCAGGAGCUGAAUCCAGAUUUCCUAUGCAGUGCAUAACUGAGUUAACCACAAAAUCAUUUUAGUGUUACUUAGCUUUCUUUUCCCACUAGCUACUGCAAAAGUAAGUUGCAAAAAGUUGAAGUAAGUGUCUAAGGGCAGCAGGAAUGAUGACAGCCUUUGUCAGGAUCUGAAAUUUAGAAUUGCUCUUUUUUACUGCAUAAGAAAAAGUCAUUCUUCCUUUAUCCCUACAGGUAUGGAGCUGACUCGGAUCUCAGUCUGCCAUUCUUUCACUUCAUCACUGAGAUGAAUCCUGCAGUUCCUCCUGGAGAAUGUAAAUCGAAGUC
rnacentral:lncRNA from 1 species